UACAGAGGGUGCGAGCGUUAAUCGGAAUUACUGGGCGUAAAGCGCACGUAGUCGGCUUUGCAAGUCGGUUGUGAAAUCCCCGGGCUCAACCUGGGAACUGCAUCCGAGACUGCAUUGCUAGAGUAUGGGAGAGGAAAGCGGAAUUUCUGGUGUAGCAGUGAAAUGCGUAGAUAUCAGAAGGAACAUCAGUGGCGAAAGCGACUUCCUGGACCAAUACUGACGCUCAUGUGCGAAAGCGUGGGGAGCAAACAGG
rnacentral:rRNA from 1 species